UUAGAAAGCACAGAAUUCUACAAUGAGUAAGCAACCACCCAAUACCUUUCAUGUGCUACAUGUUAUCCGGGAUGCAAGUAACUUUGUUUAUGUUUCUGUUUUAAGUUAUUCUGUUGCCCCCUACAUGGUUUUGCUUGCAAUAAAUCGUCGAAUAUUACUCGUAUAUUACUCUCCCAUCUCAUAAUUGUGAUAAAAUGUUAUUAGUUCUCCUGACACAUAGCCCAUUUUUUUUAGUUUUUUUAGGUUUAUGUCUUUGUUUACUGUUAUUUAUUUGUUUGUGCUAUUUCAUUAAAUUAGACAUCGAUAAGAGCUAGAUUACAAAGCUACGAGAUAAUGCAGAAUAUAGGGAUGGUUUGAAUAGAUUCCUUGAUUUUGCAUUUGCCAAUGCAUCAUCCGAUGGGAUGAUACACAUGUAUGAGGUGUGGGUUCCGAUUUUUCCAAACUAGAGAGGAUGCAUAUGAUCAUCUUUUGAUGAAACCCUUUCCCCCUAACUAUACUUUUUGGUUACAUCACGGUGAGAGGAUUGUAGAUGAGAGCUCCAGCGGUAGAGAAGAACUAGAACCCACUGGAAUCUCAGGAUAUCAAAUGCGUGACAUGGUCUACGAGGCAUUCAACUUCUCAGGACUGUAGGGUGAUGAUGAAGACUCAAUGAAUGAGCAUGUCGGAGACGUUGCAGAGGGACUGCCGUACUUAUCUGACGAACCUAGCCGCGAGGCUCAUGCCUUUCAUGACUUGCUUAAGGAUGGCGAGUAGGAAUUAUAUCUGGGAUGCUCAAGAUUCUCGAACCUAUCUUUCUUGGGGAGGCUGUACCGUAUAAAGUGCAUGUGCGGAGUGAGCGACAAGGCUUUCAAUUUGAUUCUAGAGCUAUUGAGGGAUGCCUUUGAGCAUGCAAAGAUUCUGCAGACCUUGCACGAUGCCAAGAGAAUUAUAGGAAAGCUCGGUAUUGAGUACAAGAAGAUAAAUGUAUGUCUAAAUGACUGCAUGCUAUACCUGAGUGAGGACCAAGACCUGUCUAGAUGCAAAUGGUGUGGAGCAUCCAGGUGGAAGCAAAAGACCCAGAAGAAUUUUUUGGUAAUGAUCAACAUCGUCGUCAAGAAGAAUGGGAAACCUCAAGCGGCGAAGGUUCUCCGUUACUUUCCUCUGAUUCCACAGUUGCAGCAAAUUUUCAUGUCUAGCAAGACAUCCAUGGACAUGUUGUGGCACAAAAGAUGAACUAACCCUGACGGUCCUUUGAGGCAUCCCAGGGAUGGCAAGGCCUGGAAUCAUUUGACAGGAGAUAUACUGACUUUUCUGGCAAUCCGCGCAGUGUUCGCUUAGCCUUGGCCAGUGAUUGCUUCAAUUCUUUUGGAAACAUGAGUUCAAAGUACUCAAUAUGGCCAGUGAUUCUUAUUCCAUACAACUUACCCCCUGGAUUUGCAUGAAACAAACCAACUAUAUUCUCUCCAUGAUUAUUCCCGGUCCUAAAAUGCCUGGCAAUGACAUAGAUGUCUACCUACAGCCCCUGAUCGAUGAGUUGAAACAGUUGUGUGCCGGUGUUGAUACAUACGAUGCUAGUGAGAAGAAAACCUUCAAGAUGCAUGCUGCGUUGCUGUGGACUAUCAGCAAUUUUCCUGGCUUGGGCAAUUUAUCUGGCUGGAAUACGUGUGGUGGGAGAGCUUUCCCCACGUGAAAUCUAGACGCUGAGACUAAGCGACCCACCUUCAAUCAGAAAUGGUGUUUCAUGGGUCAUCGUCGCUUCAUGAAUCAUGAUCACAGAUAUAGAUAGGACCGGAGUAGAUUUGAUGGCCAUGUAGAGGAUAGACCCCCACUUGUCACAUUGACUGGCUGGGAUAUCUUGAAGCAGUUGGAGGGUGUGCACGUCUCACAUGACAAGGUGCAAGCGGUGGGCGGUAAAAGAAAGUGCGGACAGCAGACCGUGGUGCAAGACGAGUCUCCCUGGAAAAGAGGAGUAUAUUCUUUGAUCUCCCAUACUGGGAGAACAACGAAUUACGUCACAACCUGGACGUAAUGCACAUUGAGAAGAAUGUGUGCGACAACAUUGUUUUCACCAUGUUGAACGACAGUGGUAAAUCUAAAGACCACCUAAAAGCUCGAAAACAUCUCUAGUUGAUGGGAAUCAGGCAUGAUAUGUGGCCACUUGAAGGUGGAAAGUAUCCCUCUGCAGUCUUUACCUUGUCCAAUCCAUAGAAGGAUGUCUUUCUGAGGACCAUCAAUAAUGUGGUCUUUUCAGACGGGUACUCUAGCAACAUCUCUCACUGUGUUGAUUUAAAACAGUGCAAGCUGUUAGGCUUAAACAGUCAUGACUGCCACAUUCUAAUGGAACAUCUAUUGCCAAUUGCUUGAAAACAUGUAUUGCCCACUCCGGGUCGUUACACAAAAAAGGCAAAAUUGGGACCAGGAGUUCAGCAACCUCAAACGGGAGCGAAUGCGGCUUUGGCUUCCCACCACGAUGACUCUCGAAUUCCCCCGGCCACUGGUGAUAGUGUACCUGCAACUUCAUGCCCGUUCCGUCCACCGCACAGCGAACGAAGGCCUGCUCCACAGAUGAGCACAGAUAGUACCCAGAACUCGCUGCCAGGCCACGUAAACUUGGGUGCUAAUACAAAUGAGGUAGAUUCUCUUGAGGAAGAAGUUGAUGACCUCAUUGAUGCUUCUGGAGCUCAGAGUCGCAAAGGACGAAAGACUACAGAGUUUUGGACGGUUAAGAUCAUCGAUUCUGACGGCACAAUCAAGCCGGCAAAACUAAGCGUGAGGGAGGCGAUGGAACGGCCUAACGGUAGAAGGAUUCAACAACACAAAGCAAGCAAUCAGAGACGAAGCUGGAUUGUUGAGUGUCGUGCUUGGUCUGCUGGGAUUUGACUAUGAAAAUUUUCCUAUAUGUGAGAAAAGUUGACGUAAUAUUACCACUAAAGGCAAUGUUUAUAACGAAUGUGUCAAGCAAAUUUUUCACUUUGAUGAAGAUAGUGAAGGAACUAUCAAGAAAAUUCUAAAAAGUAUGGGGAAGUCUUGGAAGGAAAUAAGGAUGAGGUUGUAUAGUGAUUUUUACGAUCCAACAUUCACGACUGAACAAAAUAUUGAUUACCGUCCACCAGGAAUUGAUCGAGAGCAUUGGAGAUGGUUCCUUGACUAUCGCGCCAAAGCUGAGACAAAGGUAAUCUAGUAUAUCAUUGGUACACAAUAGAAAAAGUGCAGGAAAAACGCGAUUAAUCGAUCAAAACAACCAUAUACCCAUACUGGCGGUUCGAAAAGCUUCGCGCGGUGGAUGGAAGAAGAGUCGGAACAACAAGGGAGGAGAGUCGGUAGAGGAGAGUUAUGGAUCACAGUGCACAAAAAAGACAUGGCUCCUAUAUCAAUGAUAAAGCAAGAGCAAUUGUUGAAAGAAUUGAGGAGAUAGGGCAACAGGAUGAGUCUUCUAAAGUGUUGUCUCCAAAUGAUUCCAUUGCUCAGGUUUUCGGAAAAGAAAGACCGGGUAGAGUACGUGGUGUGGGUUCCGGGCCGACUCCUAGUCAACUCUUCGGUCUGAAUUCACAUGUGACGGUCAACGGAGUCCAAGUAGAGGAGACCCAGAGGAAGCUGCUAGAACUGCAGGCAGAGCUGGAAGGCGAGAAGUUGAAGAGGAAGGUGAUGGAGGAUGAGGCAGCAGUAGAGAAGAAAAAGAGGCAGGCGAUGAAGAGUGCUCUGAUUUAUCUGUAUCAACAGCAGGGUGAGGAGCUCCCACCAGAAAUCGCUGUAGGGAUAAGUUCCGUCGAUUGAUAGAGUGAAGAAUAGUGUAUUAGGAUUGGAGAUAUUUUGGUUUGAAGCACACUUUUUUUUUAAUUAGACUAUGCAACUCUUUGCAAGAGAUUUGUUUUCUUCAUACUUUCAAGAAUAUAUUAUUUUGUUUUGUAGA